ACGAGUGUCAGUGAUGAUCUUGUUUAGGCCUUCCAGCUUCCUGGUACACACGAUUUUAUCCAUUGAUCAAUCUCCCAGUCACUGUCAGUUUCUUUACCCACUGUAUAGGCGUGAUCUGAAUCUAGCAUUCCGGCACUGACAAAGGUGAACGACGGACGACGUCCUCUGUUCUGCUCAGACGAGUCUUGACCUGGAUGAUAACCAAUCCCAAACAUAUCCGCCUUUACCACAAUGCCUACGAUCUGUCCCCAGCCUGGGAUCCCUCCAUUUCUC
rnacentral:lncRNA from 1 species